rnacentral:rRNA from 1 species
GUGGGGGAUAUUGCACAAUGGGGGAAACCCUGAUGCAGCGACGCCGCGUGGGUGAAGAAGCGCCUCGGCGCGUAAAGCCCUGUCAGCAGGGAAGAAAAUGACGGUACCUGAAGAAGAAGCCCCGGCUAACUACGUGCCAGCAGCCGCGGUAAUACGUAGGGGGCAAGCGUUAUCCGGAUUUACUGGGUGUAAAGGGGGCGCAGACGGCGAUGCAAGCCAGGAGUGAAAGCCCGGGGCCCAACCCCGGGACUGCUCUUGGAACUGCGUGGCUGGAGUGCAGGAGGGGCAGGCGGAAUUCCUGGUGUAGCGGUGAAAUGCGUAGAUAUCAGGAGGAACACCGGUGGCGAAGGCGGCCUGCUGGACUGCAACUGACGUUGAGGCCCGAAAGCGUGGGGAGCAAACAGGA